CUCCUCCUCCUCCUCCUCCCUGCAGGGGUGAAACUCCAGCGCCCCACCCGCGCCCGACCUCCCCGAGCCCCGCCCCUUCCCGGUACGGGACCCCCACCUUCGCUCCCGGGAGCCCCGCUGCACCCCGGAGUUUCAUUCCUGCUUCCCCAGUGCGAGUGCGGCCGAGCGCUGACUUUUGGGGGCUCCCUUCCCCGUCUCACUGGGUCCCUUUGCGGCUCCCCAGCCCGCUGUCCCGGCUCAGACGUGGCUGCACCCCGGAGCGGGGCGCCGGCCCAGACCUGAGACGUGGCGAUGCCGCUCUGCGGGCCUCGGCUCCAGUGCUUGAAUUUCAGCCACAUCCCUAAGCUGCCAUCUCAGACCAGAGGAACAGGGAGGGGGCUUUCUGGAAAGAACAUCACCUGGAAGAAAUCAGGACAUGACUGUGGGCCAUGAGUGACCUUCAAGGAAAGCCAGAUCCGUGACAUUUAAGAACUGAAGAAACGAAAAGAUCGUCUGAUCAGUCCCAUCAGUCUUUUUCCUCAUGCUAAACAUUGAUACGAAGAUGUGAAGUUUGAUGUCUCACUAAGACUGCCUAGUGCUGCUUUAUUGCUCACCUACUUCAAAGUAUUGGGAAAACAUGAUCAUGGGUACAGGUGGGGCUGGGUUGCACCCAAACAGGUUUCUUUUGUCAGAUUCUUUUGAUGGAUUAGGAAUCUACAAGUGGGGAGAUUUUAGGGAAAUAGCCCCUACACUUGGGUUUUCUUUACGUCUUUAGGGUUCUCUUACCCCGAGAAACACGCAUUCCUCUUUAGUGUAGCAGCCCACUCUAUUGGCAAAGUUAAGCAGACUAGUUUUAUUUAAAGAGAGUCACCCAGAACCUUAGACAGAUAGAAAAUACUUGAGGCGCAGAUGAGAGUGAGCACAAAUGUGCAUAGCACAUGCAGUUUCCGGCCCUUAAACUGAAGGGCCACGUCAGUCUGCUCCUUCAGGCACAGCCUGGGACCCCAUCACGUGCCCGGCUCUGCAGUCUGAGCUUCCACUCAAGUCCACCAGGGCCUGCCUCACACAGCCCAUGUCUGGUCAGAGGGUUGCACUUUGCCACUGCCAUAUGUUCCCAGAGGUUGGCACAGCAUGACCUGGACCUCACCUAACCCAGGCAAACUCAGCUCAUCUUUGAGCUCUGUGCAACCCAUUUCUCAAGGAAGAACCACAUUUCCGCACCUCACAGCCACGUUCAAGGAAGCCGCCUGGGUAAAGCAAUGACUCAAGGAUACAACAAGCAGACCACACAAUUAACAAGAUGUGCUGACUCGCAGGAGCAGCUGGGGGAGGGUAGGUGUCGUUUUCCCUGUUUAUUUUUUUCUUAAGAAGACUUUACUGAUUCUUCUUUCAGUACGGGCCUUUUACUAAGAUAUUGGGCUUUACUUCAGCUAUGUGUGCAGAAAAUUAAAGGAUUCUAGAAGUCUGAAGGUGUUUUGCCUUGUCCUCUUGGUUAAAUUUCUGGCUAUAUUGUCUAGCAACUCAAUUUGCUUAAACAAAAUUGGUGUGUCGAAAAAGCCCAAGUCAUCUUUUAUAAGUAUGGUCUGGGGAGAAGAAAAAGAAAAUGCUUAGUUUAAAAGAUUUGUGGACUAUCUGAAGAAAAUACACAUAGCUUGUGGCAUGGAGAUAAAGCCUCUGGAUGGCUUCCAGGCUGUUAUUUUCUGACAUUGAGUCUUGUAUAUAUCUUGAAUGUCUAUAAACAAAGAAUGGCUAUACAGUUUUUUAAAAAGAUAUGUUUUAUACUUAUUAAUCAAUGUCCUCUCUGUUCCUCUGCCUUUGAAAAUAGAGC